AGCUCGUGUCGUGAGAUUCGGUUCGGUUUAACGGUCCGCUAACGAGCGCAACCCUCGUCGUGUGUUAUACGUGUCACACGAUACUGCCGGUAUCAAGCCGGAGGAAGGUGGGGAUGAUGUCAAGUCAGCAUGGCCUUUAUAUCCUGGGCUACACACACGCUACAAUGGCAGAUACAAUAGGUUGCGAAACCGCGAGGUGGAGCCAAUCCUCAAAGUCUGUCUCAGUUCAGAUUGUAGGCUGCAACUCGCCUGCAUGAAGUUGGAGUUGCUAGUAAACGCAGGUCAGCUAUACUGCGUUGAAUACGUUCCCGGGGUUUG
rnacentral:rRNA from 1 species